GUGAAUCAUCAAAUCUUUGAACGCAAAUUGCACUCUCCGGUUUUCCGGGAGAGUAUGCCUGUUUGUGCGUCAGCCUAAAUAAAAACUUCUUAUUAGUGGGCUGUGUUUUUCACUUUAACUUUGGUCGGCAUUUGGGUCAUCUUAAACUGAAAGGUUGUUAAGCGACUUAAAAUUUUCUUUAUGAUUUCGCUAACGUUUCUAAUAUUUUCUUUUACGUUCAUGUUAUCGA
rnacentral:misc_RNA from 1 species